GAUGAACGCUGGCGGCGUGCCUAAUACAUGCAAGUCGAACGCGAAAGGGAUUCGUCCCCAGUAGCGUGGCGUCCGGGUGAGUAACACGUAGGAAACCUUGCCUAGAGUGGGGGAUAACGUCCCGAAAGGGACGCUAAUACCGCAUAAGCCCACGUCGGCCUCGGCCGAUGCGGGAAAAAGAUGGCCUCUGAAUUCAAGCUAUCGCUCAAGGAUGGUCCUGCGGCGCAUCAGCUAGUUGGUGGGGUAACGGCCUACCAAGGCGAAGACGCGUAGCUGGUCUGAGAGGAUGAUCAGCCACACUGGCACUGAAACACGGGCCAGACUCCUACGGGAGCAGCAGUGGGGAAUAUUGGACAAUGGGCGCAAGCCUGAUCCAGCCACGCCGCGUGAGUGAUGAAGGCCUCGG
rnacentral:rRNA from 1 species